UCGGGUAUCGUCUAACGGUAGGACGCCAGAUUCUGAUUCUGGAUGUUGAGGUUCGAAUCCUUGUACCCGAGCCA
rnacentral:tRNA from 1 species